ACGCUGGCGGCGGCUUAAACAUGCAAGUCGAGCGGGCGUAGCAAUACGUCGGCGGCAGACGGGUGAGUAACGCGUGGGAACAUACCUUUUGGUUCGGAACAACCCAGGGAAACUUGGACUAAUACCGGAUAAGCCCUUACGGGGAAAGAUUUAUCGCCGAAAGAUUGGCCCGCGUCUGAUUAGCUAGUUGGUGAGGUAAUGGCUCACCAAGGCGACGAUCAGUAGCUGGUCUGAGAGGAUGAUCAGCCACAUUGGGACUGAGACACGGCCCAAACUCCUACGGGAGGCAGCAGUGGGGAAUAUUGGACAAUGGGCGCAAGCCUGAUCCAGCCAUGCCGCGUGAGUGAUGAAGGCCCUAGGGUUGUAAAGCUCUUUUGUGCGGGAAGAUAAUGACGGUACCGCAAGAAUAAGCCCCGGCUAACUUCGUGCCAGCAGCCGCGGUAAUACGAAGGGGGCUAGCGUUGCUCGGAAUCACUGGGCGUAAAGGGUGCGUACGCGGGUCUUUAAAUCAGGGGUGAAAUCCUGGAGCU
rnacentral:rRNA from 1 species